CUAUAAGAGGGGAGUCCUGUCACUUUAACACUCCCAGUGAUGCAGUCCUCUUUCAGGGGGGGGGGUUGCUAGUGUUUGUGAGCUGGCUUUGUGACCAUGGCUGCAGCUCUGGCAGGAAGUACAACUCAGAUAGGCUCUGGCAGGAAGUACAACUCAGAUAGGCUCUGGCAGGAAGUACAACUCAGAUAGGCUCUGGCAGGAAGUACAACUCAGAUAGGCUCUGGCAGGAAGUACAACUCAGAUAGGCUCUGGCAAGAAGUACAGCUCAGAUAGGCUCUGGCAGGAAGUACAGCUCAGAUAGGCUCUGGCAGGUAUUACAACUCAGAUAGGCUCUGGCAGGAAGUACAGCUCAGAUAGGCUCUGGCAGGAAGUACAACUCAGAUAGGCUCUGGCGGACCAGGCUGCAGCCGUAAGCGCCAAUAGAAACUGUGGUCAGGAGAGGCGACCUGUAAACAUGGAAUAGGACUGGUUGUCUCUCUGGCCGUGCAGGUCCUCGUCUCGUCCACCAGCCGGCUCUCGGUUGCAAUUAGCCGGGGGACAGGCCCUAGCACAGAAUCUGAACUCAGUCAGGGGAGGUCUUUAGGGCUGGAUAGGGUGAACUGCAGGGUGUGUGUGGGUGAUCAUG
ensembl:lncRNA